GACGAACGCUGGCGGCGUGCCUAAUACAUGUAAGUAGGACGCAGUUGCGAACGGGUGAGUAACGCGUAGGUAACUAUCUUUUAGAGGGGGAUAAUUAUUGGAAACGAUAGCUAAUACCGCAUACUAGUAGAUGGACCUGCGUUGUAUUAGCUAGUAGGUAGGGUAAUGGCCUACCUAGGCAACGAUACAUAGCCGAACUGAGAGGGUGAUUGGCCACCCUGGGACGGGGACAAGGCCCAGAGACCUUCGUGAUGCAGCAGUGUGGAAUCUUACGCAAUGGGGGAAAGCCUGACCAGGCAAAGCAGAGGGAGGGAAGAAGGUAUCCGGUACGGAAAGAUCUGUUAUUGAAGUAGCGGUACUAAACAAGAAAGGGACGGCUAACUACGUGCCAGCAGCCGCGGUAAUAC
rnacentral:rRNA from 1 species